AAACUGGUUCCUGACUUCUUCUUGUCUUCUCUUUUGGUUGAACCACAACAGGUUCCAUUUUUGUAAAUAUGUGAAUGUAAAUAGUCAAAUUAAGUUGAUAAAUGAUGUUCACAUCAUGAUUUCUUGACAUUACAUCCAGUACUCAAGAGUUUACUAACAAACGAAGAGAUGCAAGCGAUACUGGGUAGUCGUGCCUAUGAGGAUCAAAUCCCUUGAGGUAUUGAAUAUGCAAUGAUCCGACAAAAGUUUUCGAUUCCUUUUGUAUAACGCAUGCUUCUGUUGUUGUGAGAAGGUGGAUUGCAUCGAGUUUCUUCGCUCAGUAUUGGUGAAUUUAUCUAACAGAAGUUGAGAUGGCCAUGUAGAUUUCUUAGGGAUGAGCAGAAGCCCUGAAAGUCCUUGUUAAUUAAGAUCCACUGGAUGGUGGCAUUGGGAGUGCAGGGAUGCUUCAAUUUGAUGCCUCCGAAAGAGUGGAAAGAUUUUUAUUUUGGAUGCGUUCUUGUUAUACCGUUAGUUUCUUUUUUUGGCAUUGUUUACGAUAUCUUUUUUAUUGCUGUGAUGAAGGUUAGUCAAUUGGCCUGCAAUUGAUGGAGCAGUUUCAUCUUUGACAGCACUGGUUGGAUGGCGUGCUUCUUUUCUCAAAUCUGCAUUUAUCAGGGGGUCUUAAGUCUUUAAUUCUUUUGGCAAUGCUUGCUUCAAUAGGUUUAUAUGUUAGCAAAUGUCAUUUCUGCUGCAAAAUUCUUUGAAUAGAUCUUUUAUUGUCCUCUGUGUAUUGUUCAACGAUGACAGAUGAAUUUCGGUAGAUCAGCCUUUCCAGAACAACAGCCAUGCAGUAUCACCUCCAUGUGAAUAUUCCAAUUCACCUGUCUGUUCUGCUUCAUGUGAAUUGAUCACUUUAGCACCGCAUUUUUCUUGCGUAUGAUGAUUCUCUUCACGUUAAGUCUUCUGGGUUGUAUUAACAGAUGCAUAUGUUUAAGAAAGGCAUCUUAUGGAGCUGGUGCAGUUGCUGUAGUGCGAGGCGAGUGCUUCAAUCUCGACUUCCUUUCAUUCUCAUUGGUCACAUUAUUUGAUAGCUAGCAAUGUUUUUUUUCAUAUCAUAAACGACAGAUAACAAGGAGAGCUGUAAAUUCCGUUAUUAGUAGUUUCUCUGGUACUCUUUCCCAGACAGAUAACAAGGGGAAAUGUAAAUCACAUGUUGCCAAGCAGUGCGGAGCAGGGGGAUUGCCUAAUAUGCUUUGCUGAAUUUGGGGAUUCAGGCGUGUUGGUGUCGGAUGGUUGAGGCCGUCUGCAUGGUCUUGUGUAUCUAGACGGAAUGCUUGUCUAAUUCGCGUUGCACGCUCAUUGUUUGGUCCUCGGAAAAUUUCUUAGUUAAGGGUGAUAAUUGGUUGGCUGGAAAAGCUAUUAUAUAUGAGUUGGAUGUUUCCGUGUAGAAGGAUCAUAGGUAGUACUUGUUGGAGAUAGCGUGAUUAGGUUGGCGCAGAUGCUUUUGAUUGAUGAUUGUGAGGGUUGUCUGUACGAACUGCUACUUCUAGCCUCGUCGCAAGCUACGGUGUCGUUACUUUUAUGACCUAAGUUCCUGAGAUUUUAAUUAAGCGUCUGAUCAGGAGGUUGACGCUAGAUUUUAGAUUAGCAGCCUGAACCGAUGCUUUGCUGUCUAACUCAUUGUUUUUUUUUUUUUGGUCAGAGUCUAACUUAUUGUUGGAUUGUCGGUAUUUGACCCUUUUUUUUGGAGCAUACUCGACUAUGUAAGUAUGUUUUGUAAUUCGCUCGAUUAAAGCUUGGGCUUACA